rnacentral:rRNA from 1 species
AGAGUUUGAUCCUGGCUCAGGAUGAACGCUGGCGGCGUGCCUAAUACAUGCAAGUCGAACGAAGAUCUAGCUUGCUAGAUCUUAGUGGCGAACGGGUGAGUAAUACAUAAAUAAUCUGCCCAUAUGACUGGGAUAACUAUUGGAAACGAUAGCUAAUACCGGAUAGGUUAAUCGGAGGCAUCUCUGAUGAAUUAAAGUAGGAUUUCUACACAAAUGGAUGAGUUUAUGGCGCAUUAGUUAGUUGGUGGGGUAACGGCCUACCAAGACGGUGAUGCGUAGCCGACCUGAGAGGGUGACCGGCCACACUGGGACUGAGACACGGCCCAGACUCCUACGGGAGGCAGCAGUAGGGAAUUUUCGGCAAUGGGCGCAAGCCUGACCGAGCAACGCCGCGUGAGUGAUUAAGGCCUUCGGGUUGUAAAGCUCUGUUGUAAGGGAAGAACAUUCAGGAUAGGAAAUGAUCUUGAACUGACGGUACCUUACCAGAAAGCCACGGCUAACUACGUGCCAGCAGCCGCGGUAAUACGUAGGUGGCAAGCGUUAUCCGGAAUUAUUGGGCGUAAAGGGUGCGUAGGCGGUUUAUUAAGUCUAUGGUGAAAGUGCGGGGCUCAACCCCGUAUGGCCAUAGAAACUGGUAGACUUGAGUGCAGGAGAGGGCAAUGGAAUUCCAUGUGUAGCGGUAAAAUGCGUAGAUAUAUGGAGGAACACCAGUGGCGAAGGCGGUUGCCUGGCCUGUAACUGACGCUGAAGCACGAAAGCGUGGGGAGCAAAUAGGAUUAGAUACUCUAGUAGUCCACGCC